GUCGGGCGACGCCGAGGGGCGGGCGCGGCGCGGCCCGGCCCGGCCCGUGAUUGGUCCCGCUCGCCUCGGGGGCGGGCUCAGGAGGAGCCGCACGAGCGGGCUGCGAAGGGGCGGGAGCGGAGAACUUUCUAGAGAAGCGGUUAAACGGGUUGGGGCUCUUGGGCUGAGGGCAGCCGAGGGGGGUUUUUUGGUAAGGUUUGUUUUUUUUGGUUGAUGGUUCCUAGGGGCGGCCUCCUCUCCCACUCCAGGACUUCUCAGGUUUCCAUGAUCACACCCUCCCCCACGUCCUCGCUCCCCACCCCCACCCCGCCGGAGUCUAGCCGAGUUUUCCAGAUCCUUCUCCAUCCUCAGGACUCCCAGGUCCGGGCCUGCCUGGCGGCCCGCCCUGUUCACUCCGGCCCACAGCGCAGUAGCUGGAGCCGGGUAGCCAGAUGUGAAGAGGCAAGGGUCCGCCUCCCGCGGGUUUGGACCCCAGACACCCGUGGCGUUGCCUUCGGUUCCCGGACGUGGGCACCUAAGCAAUGCGGGGCUAGAAGCCAAGGGAGUGAGAGCAUGGACCCAGGAAGGAACAGCUUCAGUCCGGGCGCACAAAUUGUAGGACGCAACUUUGUCCUCCCUGCAGCCUGGCAUGCCCGCCAGAUGAGUUGCUUUCCAAAAUGCUGUGAGCAGGAGACCUUGUGAGAGAUGACCCCCAGAGCCGAAGACUUGUGGACAGGAAGCCGCUUCUGCUAAGCGAUACCUGUGGAGUUCCGAGUCUGAAGGCUAAAACCGUGAAGUUCUAAGUUACUGAAACACUGCUCGCUUGAUGGGACGGUGUGCCCGGAGAGGUCCUGUGUCUGCCCAGCAUAAUAGUACCACAGUUAUACACAGCGCCUGUGCCUGUGGAGGUCAACAGAGGGCACCGCUCCCCCAGGCUGGAGUUUCAUGGCUGUAAGCUAUCAUAAUGACAGCGCGGGAGAGAAACACCAUUAAGAACAAAAGAAAAGGAUUCUUCAGAGAAACAGUAAUGGAAGCUGGCAAACGUGGAACGGAUUUUCCCAGAAUGAAAACAAAUUCGAGGUGCUAAACAUGAUGAAAAACUUUAAAAGAAGAGAUGAAGUAAAAUGCAAACAGUAGUCAGGUCUUGGUUCUUCAUGUCUGGAGAAGUUCAUCUGAUGAAAUAUACAGGUUCCCAUUUUUAAGCAUUUCCAUGUCCAGCAUCUAAAGGGGAGAACAGAAAUAUCAAGGGAAGUAAAAAACCUACUAAAAGAACUAGUUUUAAUAUUCAAUUCUAAAUCUUUAAAUUUUAUUAUCUCUAAACAAUGAAACUGUUCUUAGAUUCUCUUCAGAGUUUAAAAGGAGAGCCAAAGGUGCCAUAGAAAAUGAGUCAUUGUGAAAGACAAACCCUGUCAAUCAACAUAAAGGAAUGUCUUCUAUGUGAGAUCUCUCAUGUUGUGCAGUAUGGCUAAUUGCAGUGACACUGAAUUUAACCAGCACACAUUUAAAAAUGUCUUAAGAAUAUGGGUGGGCACUAGGUAUAGAAUGCAAACAUUAGUUGAUUUAAUUUUUAUGUCUUACAAAUUCUUUUAUAUUUUUAAUAUGAAGUUUGAUCAUAUUAUUCCCCUGCCCAAUUCCUCCCAGAUUUUCCCCACCUUCUCCCCUACCCAACUUCAUGUUUUCUCUUUUUCUCUCUAAUAAAUCUCUCAAAUUCUUAAAUUUAGUUAUAAACAAGUCACUCCCAGGUACUAGUAAUUAUAUUUCACUAGCAUAUUUCUAUUAAGAAAUUCUACAAUGUAUUUGAUAUAGUCCAACUUAUUGAUGAUUCAUCAGAAUUUAUAUAUUACAAAAUGCUAUGCUAAAAACCAGCCUAGUAUGGAGGACUCAAGCAGACGUUCACUUAUUUUCUUUAAAUUGGCAUUAGAUUUGACUAUUUAUACUGUACCGGUGCUGAAAGGGGCCCUGUAUUCUUCAGUGGCGAAUUCAUCUAGAACACAGAAUGGUUGGGCAGAAAGUGGUUAAUUGUGGAUAAACCCUGUCAGCAAAGAACAAAAGCACAAAUCACAGCUAUAGAAUCAGUGAAAAUAAAGUCUAUACUAAGUUGACUUGGUUGGGGUGGAGGCUAAGAGAAGGGGUCUCUGGAAUAGACCUGAGGUGUGAGAAGGGGUCUCUGGAAUAGACCUGAGGGGUAAGAAGGGGUCCCUGGAAUAGACCUGAGGGGGUCAGAAGGGGUCUCUGGAAUAGACCUGAGGUAUGAGAAGGGGUCUCUGGAAUAGACCUGAGGUGUAGACUGCAGGCUUGCUGUACGUGUAGGUACCGCAGGACUCAGACGUCCCUCCUCACAACUGUGCUCCCCGCUAGCAUCCCGUCUUCUCUGGGUCUUUCCUCAGUUUAACAAGGAGACAUCGUUUACUGCUCUAACAUUAGGUAUAACGCUGGCAAGUUUCAAGUUCAAAAUCAGGAACAAAUGGAAGAAUUUCCUUCUUUAUCCAGUAUCCUCCCAUUUUGGGGGAUUUAUCUAUAGCACAUUAAAAAUAGAUCAAAUGAGUUGGGCGGUAGUGGUGCACACCUUUGAUCCCAGCACUUGGGAGGCAGAGGCAGGCGAAUCUCUGUGAAUUUGAGACCAACCUGGUCUACAAGAGCUAAUUCCAGGUCAGCCUCCAAAGCCACAGAGAACCCCCCCCAAAUCAAAUGGUAGGUUCUAUGUCACACAUCAGUGCAAGAUAUGAUUUAAAAAUUAUUGCUAUUCUUACUUUUCCAGAACAAUCCAGCUUAGAGCAAGCAACUUUAAAGGAAAAUUUAGAUAGAACUCAUGAUCAAUUGUUUCAUGAUGUCUUCAUUAGCAUGGCCCUAGACUUGUUUAAGUGCACCCAAGAGGUUAAUGUGCAAAAACAUAAUUAUAAGUGACCAUAAACUCACUUUUUCUUCCAGUGAAAGAUUGUGGAGUUUUGUUUUAUUUAAGAUAACUUUUGAUUAGGCUAGACACCAUUUCUUAUUGCCACUUAGCAUAUCUGGAUUCCACUUACCUGUCUCAUAAUAAUCAUAGACUUUUACUGGAGCUGGUUUUAAGUUUUCUACUGGGAUGUCUUGUUCCACCAAGAAGGCGAAACUCAAGGUUUGAUUGGUUAGCUGGAGAGAUGAAAGAACAGAAUUGAACUCAAUGAUUAACUUAGUUAGUUGUUAGUCACCAUCUUGUUUUCUUAAGAUAUACCAAGCUGUAGGAGUGUACUAGGUCACAUUUCACAGCCUAGAAGAGAAUGGGACACUUUCCUCUUUAUAACAUAACUAAUAAAAGAUGAAAGAACAAAAGGUAUGUUCAUAAACAGUGUUGCUGAUCAGUUCUGGUGCCAUUUUUUCUUUGUAGCUUUUUUGUCCUUAACGUGUGUGUGUGUGUGUGUGUGUGUGUGUGUGUGUGUGUGUGUGUGUGUGUGUGUGUGUGAGUGAUAAAGGGGUGGUGGAGACUGACUCUUUGGAAUCUUGAUGGUCUGGUUAGCAAUUCUUACAGACCCCAGAAUCACAAAGUCUUACCUCUUCAGUGUAGACUAGAACAUGGUUGGUGUUCACUUCAGUCCUCUGAAUAUUAGGAUGGUUUUGGAGCUGUUGAUAAACCAGAAAUAUGGAGUGAGGACAGUUUAUGUGAAGAGCAGUUUCCAGGUAUUUUUCACAUAAAAGGCUUCUCUGAAGAGUCCAAACUACUGAUUUUUUAUUUUUUAAUAUUUUAUUUAUUGUGUAUACAGUCUUCUGCCUGCAUGCCAGCAGAGGGCACUGGAUCUCAUUCAAGGUGGUUGUGAGCCACCGUGUGGUUGCCGGGAAUUGAACCCAGGACCUCUGGAAGAACAGUCAGUAUGAAGCCUGAUACCAUCUUCACAUCAACAAUGGCCAUGUUGGAUCUGGGUCGUUCUCCGGUGUAACUGUGAAGGUAACACACAGAGAAAUGGUCUUAUGUCAUCCUUCUCCCAAGACCGCAAUGGGACUCACCGACUGAGGGGAGAGCUCGGCUUCCGGCUUCAGUAGCAGCACGCUCUGGUCUACCGCACGGAGGGCGCAGAGGGACAGGGGCGUGCCUGUGACCUUCAGCUGGGCAUCAGAGGCUGGCAGGCUCUGCGCUGGUGAGAAACUCAAGUUUACCUGCAAAAAGCAUAUGAUUAUCGCUGUAUCUUAAAGACAAAGAAAAGAACAUUACAGCCUCGACUCUUCCAGCCCAUGCUGCGUUUUUCACUUCCCAUCUUAGGGCAGGUUCACAACAGGGACUUUUCUAGGAACUCUCCAUUCAGCAUCCACAGAAUGACCUGGAGGUAUGGCUCGGGCUUGCUUGGUUUUCUUUCUUCCUGUAACUGGUGGAAAGUUGACGUUGAUCCCACUGAAAUAGAAUCUAUUAUGGUCUUGAAAACACUCCUGAGAAGGAAGACUCAAACCUUCGGUGGCUGACCCUGUCUGUAUAAGGAGUUGGUGAGAUGAAACACCUGACCUCCUCCAGUCAUGGUCAUGCGACAUUCCAAAGUAGGACAGCACUGAUGGCCAUUGGGGUUUACUGGGCGAUCAAAAUUAAAUAUCUAAUAUGUAUUUUAAGGUGUAUGUUGGGAAAUUAAAAAGCUCAUUAAAAUGAAAAAGCAUCGGAAGGCUUAGUGGAAGAACAGAACAGUGGGAAAUUAUGCAGAAUUUUGUUAGAGUUUUGAUUGUGCUUUGGCUAAUAGAAAGGUGAGGGAAGCGUUGAUUUCUUUCACUGAUAUAGAUAUUUUUUAAAUUUCCUCUCCUCCUGCUUGUCUGUUUUGUCUUAUUCCAGUGUGUUAGUUUUUUGCCUUAUCUUACCUUAUUUUUCCUCCAAAGCCUGUUUGUUUUCUAACUCAAAUGUCAGUAUGUUUAGUGAAAUUGCUUUACUUAGAUCAGUGAAUUUCACUGCAACAAGGGGGCAGUUUGAAAUCAUGCUGUCAUGAGACCAACGUCUGCAUAUCUCGAAAUCACCUGUUAUAAAAACACUGCCUAUGGAGACUUCCAAGUAUCUUUUUAGUUUUAGAAAAGUUAAGUUCAUUAGAAUAAGUUUAUGUCUAUGUCUAACGAGCAAGUUAGUUAUUUGAGAGUAUGGUCAAUGGAAAAUAUUAUUUGUCAAGAAAUGGCCAUGUUGGGAAACUGAGAAACUGCUUACUGUUAGGGGAACCAGAAGAGAAACUUCAUGUAUGGCUUGAAGUAAGCUGUACCUGACACAAUAAUCAGCAUCGUCCCUCGUGAAUAGUUACAUCUGUUGAGACUAGUAGUCAGAAAAGUGGGGUGAGGUUUCAAAGGAAAAGAAUUACUUAUACUUUUAUUAUAAUGGAGUCGUGUGAUGCAAAAUGUCCAAAAGCCUGAUGAUGAGACACCCUAGACACUUUUGCUUUGUGUUUCUUAGAGAAAGGACUUGUGUGGAUGCAGUUAGACACAGGGUCCAUCACAUCUGAACUGAAAACCUCAUCUGCCACCUUCAUUCCACCUUGGUCACCAGGAAAAUCAUCUCAUGUGGUCUGGCAGGGGAAGACGAAAACUGUGACACGACAGCUUUCCUCUUUUUUUCCCACUUGACUUAUUUUUAAAUGAAUUCGAGACAGGAUCUUGCACUUAUCCCAGGUCGGCUUUGAACUCACUACCUACCCCAGCUCCUGCUGAAGCCCCCAAAUGCUGAGAUCAGAGGCGUGCAUUCACUGUGCCUGACUUGUGUUGUCUUCUCUUACUUAUCUUUCCACUAUAUGCAAACAUUUGCAGGGCUAGCUGCCAGAAAAACAAUUUAAACUAAUACAUAUUUAAUGUGUACAAACUGUCUUAAAGGGAAGGCAUUAAAUAGAAAUACAGUUUUUCUCCAUCCAAUAAAAGAUUGAAAAAAAUAUACUGGCUUGAAGAGACAUGUCCCUGUCUGAUCCCAGGUCCUUUCUCGUUCUCAAGGCCUCUCUUUGCUCACUGUCCCUUCAGACCUUAAUUGGUAACUCCACUAGACUGGCACUUUUGUGGCAGCCAGCAUUCUCGUGAGUGCUGCGUGAGUCUUCCUGUGUGUGAUUGUCAGUGCUUUCCGUCAACUUUGCUAUGGUGAGUGAAAAGGCAUUGGAUUUGAAGUGAAUAUAACUUUGAAUGGACUUGAGCUUCUUUUGAGAGUUUUUGUGGUGUUACACAGAGGUUUCCAAUGCUUGGCAGAAGCAGAUGCAUUUUUUUUUUCAGAUUUGCUUCUGAGUAGAAAGUAAUCUUUUUCUGUCAAUUAUAUGCUGUCAGAUAGUUUCAAGUCUGGACUGUGUAGAGAAGACUGACCCACCAGCUAAAGAUGCUGCCCACUGCUAGAGCCGGGUGAGCCAAAAGCUUAACCCUCCCAGGAUUCCCACACAACCACAUGUGACCCACAGUGGAAGACCCUGUAGGCUGAUGCAGGAAGCUUACUUGAUAUGAAACUCACAGAAGACCCAAAUAGAACCCACACCGUGCUCCUGACACAGUGUCCAGCUUUUACAGGGUUCCUUACAUGGCAGCGAAGACUUAUACAGCAUUCCACACUGCCUUUUGCUUAUAUCACCACACAUGUAAUGCAUGUGUGUGUGUGUGUGUGUAAUGUGAAUACAGUCACUGCUGCAGAAAUGUCCCCUUGCUGUAAAUAGACAUUAUCCUCCUAGUUAUGGUUUUGAAAGAAAAGUGGCUGAGGUUGACAGAGCCCUUCUGAUUGCUAAUUCAAAGAGUAUCUAUCAGAACAGUAAAAAAAAUCAGAUAACCAGUGCCAAUUCUGCUCUGGUAAAACUUACGUAUAGCUUAGUGGGACUCACACUACAGCUGUAUAAUCUUUAAAAAUAAUAAAAGGUCUCACUGACAAGUCAA